rnacentral:lncRNA from 1 species
CUCCUCCACAAUACUACACUACUAUACCUAACCCUGGGUCUACCAUUCAGACUCCUCCACAAUACUACACUACUAUACCUAACCCUGGAUCUACCAUUCAGACUCCUCCACAAUACUACACUACUAUACCUAACCCUGGAUCUACCAUUCAGACUCCUCCACAAUAUUACACUACUAUACCUAACCCUGGAUCUACCAUUCAGACUCCUCCACAAUACUACACUACUAUACUUAACCCUGGAUCUAACAUUCAGACUCCUCCACAAUACUACACUACUAUACCUAACCCUGGAUCUACCAUUCAGACUCCUCCACAAUACUACACUACUAUACCUAACCCUGGAUCUACCAUUCACAGUACACACCACUACAUUACUAUACCUAACCCUGGAUCUACCAUUCACAGUACACACCACUACACUACUAUACAUAACCCUGGAUCUACCAUUCACAGUACACACCACUACACUACUAUACCUAACCCUGGAUCUACCAUUCAGACUCCUCCACAAUACUACACUACUAUACCUAACCCUGGAUCUACCAUUCAGACUCCUCCACAAUAAUACACUACUAUACCUAACCCUGGAUCUACCAUUCAGACUCCUCCACAAUACUACACUACUAUACCUAACCCUGGAUCUACCAUUCACAGUACACACCACUACACUACUAUACCUAACCCUCAAUCUCACAUCCACAGUACACACCACUACAAUACUACUCCUAACCCUGGAUCUCACAUUCACAGUACACACCACUACAAUACUACACCUAACCCUGGAUCUCAUAUUCACAGUACACACCACUACAAUACUACACCUAACCCUGGAUCUCAUAUUCACAGUACACACCACUACAAUACUACACCUAACCCUGGAUCUCAUAUUCACAGUACACACCACUACAAUACUACACCUAACCCUGGAUCUCAUAUUCACAGUACACACCACUACAAUACUACACCUAACCCUGGAUCUCAUAUUCACAGUACACACCACUACAAUACUACACCUAACCCUGGAUCUCAUAUUCACAGUACACACCACUACAAUACUACACCUAACCCUGGAUCUCAUAUUCACAGUACACACCACUACAAUACUACACCUAACCCUGGAUCUCACAUUCAGACUACACACCACUCCGCUACUAUACCUAACCCUGGAUCUCAUAUUCACAGUACACACCACUACAAUACUACACCUAACCCUGGAUCUCAUAUUCACAGUACACACCACUACAAUACUACACCUAACCCUGGAUCUCACAUUCAGACUACACACCACUCCGCUACUAUACCUAACCCUGGAUCUCAUAUUCACAGUACACACCACUACACUACUAUACCUAACCCUGGAUCUCAUAUUCACAGUACACACCACUACAAUACUACACCUAACCCUGGAUCUCAUAUUCACAGUACACACCACUACAAUACUACACCUAACCCUGGAUCUCAUAUUCACAGUACACACCACUACAAUACUAUACCUAACCCUGGAUCUACCAUUCAGACUCCUCCACAAUACUACACUGCUAUACCUAACCCUGGAUCUACCAUUCACAGUACACACCACUACAAUACUAUACCUAACCCUGGAUCUACCAUUCAGACUCCUCCACAAUAUUACACUACUAUACCUAACCCUGGAUCUACCAUUCAGACUCCUCCACAAUACUACACUACUAUACCUAACCCUGGAUCUACCAUUCAGACUCCUCCACAAUACUACACUGCUAUACCUAACCCUGGAUCUACCAUUCACAGUACACACCACUACAAUACUACACAUAACCCUGCAUCUCACAUUCAGAGUACACACCACUCCGCUACUAUACCUAAACCUGGAUCUCAUAUUCACAGUCCACAACACUACUCCUUGGAUUUCACAUUCAGAAUAUACAUUUCAUGUUCAGUCAUACAUUUGGUCCAUAUUGAAAUGCAUUUUACUUCAAUAG